rnacentral:rRNA from 1 species
AUUCCAGCUCCAAUAGCGUAUAUUAAAGUUGUUGCAGUUAAAAAGCUCGUAGUUGAACCUUGGACAAAGUGCGCGUGGUCUACCGCAAGGUACGACUCCGGCGCUGCGUCUCUUUAGGGGGACUCGAUGCUUCGGUGUCGAGGUAACCCGUGUUACUGUGAAGAAAUUAGAGUGUUUAAAGCAGGCUAUCGCUUGAAUACAUCAGCAUGGAAUAACAAGUUGGACUUUGCUCCUACUUGUUGGUUUGAGGGGAAAAGUAAUGAUUAAUAGGGCCAGUUGGGGGCAUUAGUAUUCAGUAGUCAGAGGUGAAAUUCUUGGAUUUACUGAAGACUAACUAGUGCGAAAGCAUUUGCCAAGGAUGUUUUCAUCA